rnacentral:rRNA from 1 species
UGCUUCUCGCUGACGAGCGGCGGACGGGUGAGUAAUACUUAGGAAUCUGCCCAGUAGUGGGGGAUAGCACGGGGAAACUCGUAUUAAUACCGCAUACACCCUACGGGGAAAAGGGGGCGCUUGCGCUCUCGCUAUUGGAUGAGCCUAAGUCGGAUUAGCUAGUUGGUGGGGUAAAGGCCUACCAAGGCGACGAUCUGUAGCUGGUCUGAGAGGAUGAUCAGCCACACCGGGACUGAGACACGGCCCGGACUCCUACGGGAGGCAGCAGUGGGGAAUAUUGGACAAUGGGGGCAACCCUGAUCCAGCCAUGCCGCGUGUGUGAAGAAGGCCUUUUGGUUGUAAAGCACUUUAAGCAGUGAAGAAGACUCUAUGGUUAAUACCCAUAGACGAUGACAUUAGCUGCAGAAUAAGCACCGGCUAACUCUGUGCCAGCAGCCGCGGUAAUACAGAGGGUGCAAGCGUUAAUCGGAAUUACUGGGCGUAAAGCGAGCGUAGGUGGCUUAAUAAGUCAGAUGUGGAAUCCCCGGGCUUAACCUGGGAACUGCAUCUGAUACUGUUGGGCUAGAGUAGGUGAGAGGGAGGUAGAAUUUCAGGUGUAGC